UACGAAGGGGGCUAGCGUUGUUCGGAAUCACUGGGCGUAAAGCGCGCGCAGGCGGCGCUCAGCAGUGGCGCGUGGAAUCUCCCGGCUCACCCGGGAGGGGUCGCGCCAGACGGGAGUGCUCGAGGCAGGCAGAGGAUCGCGGAACGGGCGGAGUAGGGGUAAAAUCCGUAGAGACCGUCCGGAACACCAGUGGCGUAGGCGGCGGUCUGGGCCUGUCCUGACGCUCAGGCGCGAAAGCGUGGGGAGCGAACGGA
rnacentral:rRNA from 1 species